rnacentral:rRNA from 1 species
CACGUAGGGCGCAAGCGUUGUCCGGAAUUAUUGGGCGUAAAGAGCUCGUAGGCGGUCUGUUACGUCUGCUGUGAAAACCCGGGGCUUAACCCUGGGCUUGCAGUGGAUACGGGCAGACUAGAGGCAGGUAGGGGAGAAUGGAAUUCCCGGUGUAGCGGUGAAAUGCGCAGAUAUCGGGAGGAACACCAAUGGCGAAAGCAGCUCUCUGGGACGGUACUGACGCUGAGACGCGAAAGCGUGGGGAGCGAACAGG